rnacentral:lncRNA from 1 species
AUGUGUGUAUAAAUCACCAACAGGAUUCUGACCUGAAAGUCCUGGUGCUCCAACGCUGGCUUCACUUCACCAUCGUAAUGGAGAAUGCUGAAACAUGGCUUGAGGAAACUUUGGUCAAAAUCCCUUGAUUUCCCAGGGCUUCAUUUGUAAAACAGCAGCAACCUUCUGUCUUCUAAAAGGCCUAGGAGCUGAGCAGAUCCAACCCCCCUUGUGCAAUAUUCCCUUGAUUACUAUACCUUAACGCGAAGGUCACCUGACAAUCGGAAGUCAUUGGAGAGAUAUAAAUGCAGGAAGUGCUGGAGUGCCAGAGUGAAGUCCACCACCGAGCGGUUGAACUCAGCGAUACGGAGUCCAUUCAACGUCUACAAUUCCAUGAUUCUAUUAAAGUUGAGAAACCUGUCAAAAAAUAAACAAAAAUAAAUGCAAACCCACAGUGUUAUCUUAACUCA